AUUGAACGCUGGCGGCAGGCCUAACACAUGCAAGUCGAGCGGAUGAAGGGGGCUUGCUCCUGGAUUCAGCGGCGGACGGGUGAGUAAUGCCUAGGAAUCUGCCUGGUAGUGGGGGAUAACGUCCGGAAACGGGCGCUAAUACCGCAUACGUCCUGAGGGAGAAAGUGGGGGAUCUUCGGACCUCACGCUAUCAGAUGAGCCUAGGUCGGAUUAGCUAGUUGGUGGGGUAAAGGCCUACCAAGGCGACGAUCCGUAACUGGUCUGAGAGGAUGAUCAGUCACACUGGAACUGAGACACGGUCCAGACUCCUACGGGAGGCAGCAGUGGGGAAUAUUGGACAAUGGGCGAAAGCCUGAUCCAGCCAUGCCGCGUGUGUGAAGAAGGUCUUCGGAUUGUAAAGCACUUUAAGUUGGGAGGAAGGGCAGUAAGUUAAUACCUUGCUGUUUUGACGUUACCAACAGAAUAAGCACCGGCUAACCUCGUG
rnacentral:rRNA from 1 species